UCUGUGCACCCACUGAAGGCAGGUCCCUGAAAGGAGGUGUUUUUUCCCAAUGGUUCCCUGCUGGUUCUUUGUGGCCAUGCUGGCUCUCAUGGGGUGGGCUCUGAAACAGUCCCCKGACACUGUCACACAACAAGGACAGACCAUGAGUUUGAGCUGCUCUGAGAAGAAAUCCUCCAGUACAGUGAUGUCCUGGUACAAGCAGCCUUUGGGGAAGGAUUCUAGACUCAUCCUAGUUGUUUCUGCAGUUCAAGGCUCUAAAGCAACCAUUGAGGAGGAAUUCCAAAGCCGUUUCCAGAGCAGUGAGAUCCAAGGAGACAGCCUGAACCUCUUCAUAGAUCAGGUCUCUCUCAAUGACUCGGGCACAUAUUACUGUGCCGAGAGUGACUCACAGUGACUGCGUUGCUGAGGGAGCUGAGCACAAACCUCUGUCYGCACUGAAGG